rnacentral:rRNA from 1 species
ACGAACGCUGGCGGCGUGCUUAACACAUGCAAGUCGAACGGAAAGGCCCUGCUUUUGUGGGGUGCUCGAGUGGCGAACGGGUGAGUAACACGUGAGUAACCUGCCCUUGACUUUGGGAUAACUUAAGGAAACUGGGGCUAAUACCGGAUAGGAGCUCCUGCUGCAUGGUGGGGGUUGGAAAGUUUCGGCGGUUGGGGAGGGACUCGCGGCUUAUCAGCUUGUUGGUGGGGUAGUGGCUUACCAAGGCUUUGACGGGUAGCCGGCCUGAGAGGGUGACCGGCCACAUUGGGACUGAGAUACGGCCCAGACUCCUACGGGAGGCAGCAGUGGGGAAUAUUGCACAAUGGGCGGAAGCCUGAUGCAGCAACGCCGCGUGCGGGAUGACGGCCUUCGGGUUGUAAACCGCUUUCGCCUGUGACGAAGCGUGAGUGACGGUAAUGGGUAAAGAAGCACCGGCUAACUACGUG